rnacentral:rRNA from 1 species
GAACGAACGCUGGCGGCGCGCCUAACACAUGCAAGUCGAACGGGGCGGCGGGCUUCGGCCCGGCGCUCAGUGGCGGACGGGUGCGUAACGCGUGGGAACCUGCCCCGGGCUCUGGGACAACCGCGGGAAACUGCGGCUAAUACCGGAUGACGCCCCCGUGCGGGGGCCAAAGUCCUACCGCGAGGUAGGGCGGCGUGGGAGGGGCCCGCGUCCGAUUAGCUGGUUGGUGGGGUAACGGCCCACCAAGGCAUUGAUCGGUAGCUGGUCUGAGAGGACGAUCAGCCACACUGGGACUGAGACACGGCCCAGACUCCUACGGGAGGCAGCAGUGGGGAAUCUUGGACAAUGGGCGAAAGCCUGAUCCAGCGACGCCGCGUGGGUGAUGAAGGCCUUCGGGUUGUAAAGCCCUUUCGACGGGGACGAUGAUGACGGUACCCGGCGAAGAAGCACCGGCUAACUCCGUGCCAGCAGCCG